GGUUCUGUUGGGAAGAGGUUGCUGGCUUUGAAAUUUUUGGAAACAUAUGUUCUACUUUUUACAUCCGAUACAAAUGAUCCACAGAAAGCUAUCUCAGAAGGAAGUAGGGACGUUUUUAACAUUUCAUGGCUAGAUGGUGGGUUUCCUAUUUUGGAUCCAGUUGGGCUAAUGUCAGAAGCUAAUAGGAUGCUUGGUAUUCUGUUGAAUUUGUUGCAGACCAGUUCUGUUCCUG
rnacentral:misc_RNA from 1 species